rnacentral:rRNA from 1 species
UACGAAGGGGGCUAGCGUUGUUCGGAUUUACUGGGCGUAAAGCGCACGUAGGCGGCUUGUUAAGUCAGAGGUGAAAGCCUGGAGCUCAACUCCAGAACUGCCUUUGAUACUGGCAAGCUCGAGUAUAGGAGAGGUUGGUGGAACUGCGAGUGUAGAGGUGAAAUUCGUAGAUAUUCGCAAGAACACCAGUGGCGAAGGCGGCCAACUGGCCUAUAACUGACGCUGAGGUGCGAAAGCGUGGGGAGCAAACAGG